CGCCAUGUUGCCUCUAGUCUGCUGAAACACGUCCGGUGUUGUUUACACUGUUCUUUCUAAUAAUAUCUCUGGUCCUUGUCUUUUGUCAUGUUUGUUAAUUGCACUGGAAGCAGUUUUCUUUUUCUGCUGGUAAAUACUUCGGAGCUCCACCACCUCCUGUGAAGAAAAAGAAAAACACCUGGAACAACUGCUUCACCCCGACAAGCUAGACAGACAAAGUGGCAUUUCCUGACUGUUCCCAUCCCCGUCUUGAGUUAUCUGACACCCAAAAAUACGGCUACGGGGGAAGCAGGGAGGCGAGGCACCACAGCCUUAUCCCGAUAAACAUCACCUAGUUGGAGCAGAUGGGCGGAGGAAGGAUGGGGUCAAUGAAGAAGAAGGAGGACAAUGGCAUUGGUUCAGAGACUGAAUGGCCAGA